rnacentral:rRNA from 1 species
UACGUAGGGGGCAAGCGUUGUCCGGAUUUAUUGGGCGUAAAGCGCGUGUAGGCGGCCACGCAGGUCCGCUGUGAAAACUCGAGGCUCAACCUCGAGCUGUCGGUGGAAACCGCGUGGCUAGAGUCCGGAAGAGGGGACUGGAAUUCCCGGUGUAGCGGUGGAAUGCGCAGAUAUCGGGAGGAACACCCGUGGCGAAGGCGGGUCCC